UAUUUGGCAAUUUGGGAGCCCAUCGGGCGGGGAAGGUCGACCUGAACCCUGCGAUUUCCACGGGGCGGCUCCUCCCCACCUCGAGGGUCCGGGCGAGGAUUCCCGAGCGGCGUCACGAGAAAAAGAAGGCGCAGCGCCGCCGCCCCGCUUCCGUCCAGCGCCGUUGUCCUGCCUCCGCCGCCUCUACUCCGUCGAGCGCCACCGCUCCGUCUCUAUCCCAGUGUCGCCGCUGCUCCACCUCUUCCCCAACUCCGUCGAUCCCGCCGCCGCCCCCCCCCCCCCCCCCCCCCGCUUCCCCGUCGAGAUGCCGCCGCGCCGAUCUACAUCGAGACCUCUACUCGGCCGGCUCCUCCGCAGCUUGUAUUCGUACUUGCUCAUGUGAGUUUCCUCUCGUUGCUUUCUGAUCUUCCAUGUCUCCGCUGUAGAUCGGCGUAUCUAGGGUUUGUACUCCCUCCUCUUGUAGAUCCUAUCCUUGCUGAUCUCCAAGAUCCUCUCCAAUAUCCAAUUCUUGCUGUUCUCUGGGAACUGGUUAGAUGUAAACAGCUACUUGGGUUGGCAUACUUGCAGUGCUGAUUGGAACUGGUUUGUGUUAAUGUUUAUGGAUUAGUGAAAUUGUAUCUGGAUUAAUGAAAUCUGGGAACUGGUUUGUGCCUGUGUGUUUAUGUGAAACAGUAUUACCAUUUCGGCGAAUCGAACUUGAAGGUAACGGUGUCUUUCCAGCCCUCCUCGGCCUUGAUGGUGAUGCUGUCGUCGUUGUUGGCGCAGCGGAAAGCCUUGGCCAUUUCGGCACAAAGGCAUGCUUUCUAGCACGCUACACAAUUUUGGAAACAAUUUAAUUUGCAUUCUAAACAAAUGCAGGUGACUUUGGGCUUGCAAAAAUAUUAACCCCUGAUGAUCUAGCAUCCUUGUAGGAACACCAAGUCACAUGUGCCCGGAAUUUCUUGCGGAUAUACCUUAUGGUAACAAAUCCGAUAUUUGGUCGCUAGGGUGCUGCAUGUAUGAAACGGCUGCGCUCAGACCCGCAUUUAAAGCUUUUUGGCUCAUAAUGCAAUGAGCUAAAUCUUUAUUGUGGCAUAUGGUACUGCUUGGGACAUACUGUGGUGCUAUGGAAUUUUUCGGUUGACUCAGUUUGGAACAUACAUGCAGUCUGUGAACUGCUUAUCUGAAUUAAAAGUUAGGUUCCAAUAUCAGUACCAUCAUCAUCUGAUCUUGAGAGUAUCCUCUCGCCAGAUCCAAUCUUCAGUGAUCUUCAGUUGAAAGAGAGAAACUACAAUGCUCCAGCCUGUUCACCGCGUGCUUCUACUUCUGCUGUUAGCCUGCCACGAGACAUGCAAGUGCAGCUUCUGCUUCUGCGUGCUUCUGCUUCUGUCUUCAUGAAUUUCUUUUUUGAACAUAAUUGUCUUCAUGAAUUUCUCAAGAAUUUUAUCCUAUUGUGUGAUGGAUGAAUUGAACGUGUUGGGAUUUGAUCGAUGGAAAACUACUCUGGCUUGCAUUGCGAUCGGUUGAGAAUGAAUUGAAUUAUUUUGUACGUCGCAGAUUUUGAGUUUUCA